ACCGCAAGGGGGGCGCGGCCGAAGGUGGGUUCGAUAAUUGGGGUGAAGUCGUAACAAGGUAGCCGUAUCGGAAGGUGCGGCUGGAUCACCUCCUUUCUAAGGAGA
rnacentral:rRNA from 1 species